GACGAACGCUGGCGGCGUGCUUAACACAUGCAAGUCGAACGGAAAGGCCCUGCUUUUGUGGGGUGCUCGAGUGGCGAACGGGUGAGUAACACGUGAGUAACCUGCCCUUGACUUUGGGAUAACUUCAGGAAACUGGGGCUAAUACCGGAUAGGAGCUCCUGCUGCAUGGUGGGGGUUGGAAAGUUUCGGCGGUUGGGGAUGGACUCGCGGCUUAUCAGCUUGUUGGUGGGGUAGUGGCUUACCAAGGCUUUGACGGGUAGCCGGCCUGAGAGGGUGGCCGGCCACAUUGGGACUGAGAUACGGCCCAGACUCCUACGGGAGGCAGCAGUGGGGAAUAUUGCACAAUGGGCGGAAGCCUGAUGCAGCAACGCCGCGUGCGGGAUGACGGCCUUCGGGUUGUAAACCGCUUUCGCCUGUGACGAAGCGUGAGUGACGGUAAUGGGUAAAGAAGCACCGGCUAACUACGUGCCAGCAGCCGCGGUGAUACGUAGGGUGCGAGCGUUGUCCGGAUUUAUUGGGCGUAAAGGGCUCGUAGGUGGUUGAUCGCGUCGGAAGUGUAAUCUUGGGGCUUAACCCUGAGUGUGCUUUCGAUACGGGUUGACUUGAGGAAGGUAGGGGAGAAUGGAAUUCCUGGUGGAGCGGUGGAAUGCGCAGAUAUCAGGAGGAACACCAGUGGCGAAGGCGGUUCUCUGGGCCUUUCCUGACGCUGAGGAGCGAAAGCGUGGGGAGCGAACAGGCUUAGAUACCCUGGUAGUCCACGCUGUAAACGGUGGGUACUAGGUGUGGGGUCCAUUCCACGGGUUCCGUGCCGUAGCUAACGCUUUAAGUACCCCGCCUGGGGAGUACGGCCGCAAGGCUAAAACUCAAAGGAAUUGACGGGGCCCCGCACAAGCGGCGGAGCAUGCGGAUUAAUUCGAUGCAACGCGUAGAACCUUACCUGGGUUUGACAUGGAUCGGGAGUGCUCAGAGAUGGGUGUGCCUCUUUUGGGGUCGGUUCACAGGUGGUGCAUGCCUGUCGUCAGCUCGUGUCGUGAGAUGUUGGGUUAAGUCCCGCAACGAGCGCAACCCUUGUUCACUGUUGCCAGCACGUUAUGGUGGGGACUCAGUGGAGACCGCCGGGGUCAACUCGGAGGAAGGUGGGGAUGACGUCAAGUCCUCAUGCCCCUUAUGUCCAGGGCUUCACGCAUGCUACAAUGGCUGGUACAGAGAGUGGCGAGCCUGUGAGGGUGAGCGAAUCUCGGAAAGCCGGUCUCAGUUCGGAUUGGGGUCUGUAACUCGACCUCAUGAAGUCGGAGUCGCUAGUAAUCGCAGAUCAGCAACGCUGCGGUGAAUACGUUCCCGGG
rnacentral:rRNA from 1 species